GGAUGUGAGGGUCAUCUGGCUGCGACAUCUGUCACCCCAUUGAUCGUCAGGGUUGAUUCAGCUGAUCUGGCUGGCUAGGCGGGUGUCCCCUUCCUCCCUCACAGCUCCAUGUGCGUCCCUCCCGAAGCUGAGCAUUCGGUUGAAGAGGACGGUCUUCCCCGAAUAGAGACGGUCGGGUCUUCGGUCGGUCGAGGGUAUAGGAGUAGCUGAGCUCCUUUGCUAGAACCCCCAAACGAGCUCUCAAGGACAUGAAAUGAGAGGAUGAAAAUGCCAGUCCUGCUGCAUUAAGAUUCCUGGAAGCUUUAGUGGUUUUU
ensembl:misc_RNA 7SK 7SK RNA